rnacentral:tRNA from 1 species
GCCUCGGUAGCUCAGUUGGUAGAGCAGCUGGCUCUUAACCAGCGGGUCCUAGGUUCGAGCCCUAGCCGAGGCA